AUGGAUCUGGGUCGGGCCCAAGGCAAAGGGUUUCGGUGCGAGACAACGGCAGGGAUGAAGAGGGAGGGAGUGAAAGCGGAAAGUGGUGGUCUGUGUAUGGUCGUGGUUCGACAGAGAUGCUCCCGUCAUGGUGUUGUCGGAGUUGUAAUGAAAAUGGUUGUGCGACGUGGAUGUCCGAGGGAUUCUGAUCUGAAACAAAUUUAUUUUCGAAUUUCAACCAAUUUCUUUUGUUUCUCUUUUUCUUUUUUGUAUUGUUCUCUCCCCCUCGUUCUCUGUAAUGUUGUUUAUUUUUAUAAUGAUUUUAGGAAUUCGAUUUAG